AUUGAACGCUGGCGGCAGGCCUAACACAUGAAAGUCGAGCGGAGCGGCGGACGGGUGAGUAAUGCCUAGGAAUCUGCCUGUUAGUGGGGGAUAACGUCCGGACACGGGCGCUAAUACCGCAUACUAUCAGAUGAGCCUAAGUCGGCUUAGAUAGUUGGUGGGGUAAAGGCCUACCAAGGAUACGACACGUAACUGGUUGGAGAGGCUGAUCAGUCACACUGGAACUGAGACACGGUCCAGACUCCUACGGGAGGCAGCAGUGGUGAAUAUUGGACAAUGGGCGAAAGCCUUAUCCAGCCAUGCCGCGUGUGUGAAGAAGGUCUUCGGAUUGUAAAGCACUUUAAGUUGGGAGGCGUUACCAACAGAAUAAGCACCGGCUAACUUCGUGCCAGCAGCCGCGGUAAUAC
rnacentral:rRNA from 1 species